rnacentral:rRNA from 1 species
GACCUGCCCACUGAGAUUUUGAAGGGCUGCGGUAAUUUGACCGUGCAAAGGUAGCAUAGUCAAUAGUCUUUUAAUUGGAGGCUUGAAUGAAAGGUUUUACGGAGGAAAAACUGUCUGGGAAAUUAAAUUUGAAUUUAACAUUUGUGUGAAAAGGCAUUAAUGGGUUAGUGGGACGAUAAGACCCUAUAAAACUUUACAUAUUAUAUUUUUUAGUAGAAUUGGUAAUUAAUUAUUAAAUUGUUGGUUGUGUUUUGCUGGGGCGGCAGAAAUAUAAAUAUAACUGUUUUAAGUGUGAAAUAUUUAUUAAUAGAUAGUGUUCCUUGAUUUGAGAGUUAAGAGUAAGUUACUUUAGGGAUAACAGCAUAAUUCUUUCUGAGAGUUCUUAUCGAAGAAGGUAGUUGUGACCUCGAUGUUGAAUUAAAUUUUCCUUUAGGUGUAGGGGUUUAAAUGGAAGGCCUGUUCGGCCUAUAAAUAUUUACAUGAUUUGAGU